CUGACCCGCCUAAAUUGAAUUCAUAUCUCCUUCGUCUGGUCGAGAAGGGAGGGGAACUGGACUCUGCCUCUUCUAUUACAUUUACAUUACAUUACGGAGAAGUCCAUUCUCGUCAUGAUCGAUCCACGUCCUAGCGUAGUGCCCGGCUUGCUUCUUACAUUACAUUACGGAGAAGUCCAUUCUGGUCAUGAUCGAUCCACGUCCUAGUGUAGUGCCCGGCUUGCUUAGCAACCAAAGCUAGCUUACUAAGGUAGUUUCGUUUUAAAUUUUGAAAAAAGAAGGCAAAGGCAUUUUUCCUUGAUUGCACGAGCUAGCCAGCAAGC
rnacentral:lncRNA from 1 species